rnacentral:rRNA from 1 species
GUUUGAUCCUGGCUCAGAACGAACGUUAGCGGCGCGCCUAACACAUGCAAGUCGAGCGAGAAAGGGGCAACCCCGGUAAAGCGGCGCACGGGUGAGUAACACGUAGGUAAUCUACCCUCGGGUGGAGGAUAACUUUCCGAAAGGAAGGCUAAUACUGCAUGAGACCACGGUUCCGGAAGGGAUUGAGGUCAAAGCCGGCCACUGUACACAAGCUGGCGCCUGAGGAUGAGCCUGCGGCCCAUCAGCUAGUUGGUAGGGUAAUGGCCUACCAAGGCGAAGACGGGUAGCUGGUCUGAGAGGAUGAUCAGCCACACUGGAACUGAGACACGGUCCAGACUCCUACGGGAGGCAGCAGUGGGGAAUCUUGCGCAAUGGGCGAAAGCCUGACGCAGCGACGCCGCGUGAGUGAUGAAGGCCU